GGGGGUCUAGCUCAUAUGGUAGAGCGCUCGCUUCGCAUGCGAGAGGUACGGGUUCGAUUCCCUUGACCUCCA
rnacentral:tRNA from 1 species